UUAUUUCUUAGAAACAAACAGAAAGAAAAAAAAAAGAAAAACUCUGCUAGGGUUUCAUCCUUAACCCUUGAACGCUGCCGCCAGUCUGCCACAUCUCCGCCGCGAUUACACCGCCAACGGUGGUCGGAGCUGUAGCCCUAGGGGCUUUUUAGCUCCUCCUCGCGCGGAUCUGAAGGCUUUUCGAGGUAAACCCUCUCCUUUCUCUUUUGUUUAUACACGAUUCAAAAAUAAAAAGAAAACGGUAGAGAAAACCGAAUAAGAAAAAAGAAAAGAUCACCUAUUUUGAAACUGUUUUUUUUAUUUCCUUUUCUUUUAAAUAUUUUUUUGAUACAAUCUUUGUUUUCUCUCUGUGUGUGAGGGUCCCCUUUUACAAUAUUCCUAAUGGAUCUUUUUAUAGCCAGAUUCACAGAAGAAAAUAGAAAUAAAAAUCGACCCCUAAAACCAAUUUGUUCCUCUUUUUUCCUAUUUCGCUGCCAUUGUUUGUUAUCUGUUUGUGUCUGUCUUUUGUUGCUUUGUGUGUUGCAGGUACGGAGGAGUCUCGUUGGCAGUACAGAGAUGCACGCAAGGGCAGAGACUCGGCACGCGCGUAAAAGGGUCUCGCGUGGGGGAGGAGCGUCGUGCUGGAGGCUGCUGGAGCGGCGGCUGAGAUCUUAGAAACCCUAGGGUUUCGGUUUUGGGCCAGGGGUAGUCAGGCUAGGGUUUAGGCUAGUCGGGCUUGGUGUAGUUGGGUAUUAGAUUAAAACGAUUUGGGACAUGCUGGGCCCAUGUAUUUGGACUUUGGACUUUUAAAUGUUGAUUUGGUUUAUUAUUAUUACAGGCCGGACAAAUAUUGGGCCUUACAGAUAGUAUUUUACAUGUGAAUAUUAUGUAUGGCUUAUUUGGUUG
rnacentral:lncRNA from 1 species